CCCGCCCGCUGGCGGCAUGCCUAACACAUGCAAGUCGAACGAGACCUUCGGGUCUAGUGGCGCACGGGUGCGUAACGCGUGGGAACCUGCCCUUAGGUUCGGAAUAACUCCCCGAAAGGGGUGCUAAUACCGGAUAAUGUCUUCGGACCAAAGAUUUAUCGCCUUUGGAUGGGCCCGCGUUGGAUUAGCUAGUUGGUAGGGUAAAAGCCUACCAAGGCGACGAUCCAUAGCUGGUCUGAGAGGAUGAUCAGCCACACUGGGACUGAGACACGGCCCAGACUCGUACGGGAGGCAGCAGUGGGGAAUAUUGGACAAUGGGCGAAAGCCUGAUACAGCAAUGCCGCGUGAGUGAUGAAGGCCUUAGGGUUGUAAAGCUCUUUUACCCGGGAUGAUAAUGACAGUACCGGGAGAAUAAGCUCCGGCUAACUCCGUG
rnacentral:rRNA from 1 species